rnacentral:rRNA from 1 species
UCACCUCUUCCCAUUCCGAACAGAGAAGUUAAGCCUGCCUGCGCCGAUGGUACUGCUAUUGCGGGAGAGUAGGUCGUCGCCAGUU